CCUCCCCUACCCUCCCCUCCCGCGAGAAGAGGACCUCCACCCCGACCCAGCAGGUGAGCCGUCGGCCAGGUCGCGCCCAAAUCCGUAUUUCCUAUGGUUGUCGUCGUCGAGCUGCGCCCAGAUCCGUCUUUCCUCUGGCCGUCGUCGUCGAGCUGCGGUCAGAUCGGCAAUGGCGCGACCGAGCAGUCUAAUGUACAGGAGAAAGCAGAGGGGCUUCUUGGAGCUGGACCUUGUGCUCGGGACCUGGGUGGAGCAGCACGUUCGCUCCAUGGACGAGGCCAACAUCCGCUCCCUGCUCCAGAUCCUCGACCUCUGGGCCGAUUUGGUUAGUCGAUUUCGGUUUGGGUCAUGGGAUCCAUGCACCAUCAUGGGAUUGGAGUGGUUGUGCUCGCUCCCUAGGUAGGUGGGCCGAGCGUGCUGCCAUGGUCAUGGGGAGCCGAGCAAGCUAGCAGUACCACUCACGCGUCCCACGGAGGAGGAGCGCGCUCGGUCUUGUGUAAAAAACACAGGUGGAGAGGGGCAUAAACCUGGUCUACGGGAGUGGCUCCAUCAGUCUCAUUGGCCUCGUCUCCACGCCGUCCAUGCCAGCGGCCGACAUGUCAUCGGAUGAGCAAGCACUUCUCCACACACGUGUUUUUGAACCUUGAUUGUUGGGUGUGCAAGCUUGCAGCUGCUAGGGGUCCCUCAAAUGCCGCUGAUAGUCACGAGGAUAUGGCUCAAGUUGAUGUGGACCUGAACCUUGUGGAGAGCCAAGGGGAUCAUUUUCCCCUUCAUUUUGCUUUCUCCAUCUUUGGAUUACCCAUGUGUGAUCUUGUAUCACCGUAGUGAUCAUUUGGUGAAGUGCGAAUCCAAGUCCGAAGCUGUGAAGCAUAUCAGCAAAGAGUAGUAUAUUAUGUGUUGUAAUUGUAGGUUAAUUUGGGUUGUAGUAUAUUGUAAUAGACUAAUAUAUUUUUGUUUUGGACGAAUAUCAUUUUCUCUUUGGAUUGUUUGAAAUAAUGAUUGUGUAUGUAAUUUGUAUACCCGUGAAAGGAAAACCUGAAAAGGGGUUCAAGUUA